ACAGCGCUUCCCGUACGAUCAGCGAAGUUAAGCAAUGUCGAGCUUGGUCAGUAAUUAAAUGGGUGACCGCUUAGGAAUACCAGGU